CCUACGGGAGGCAGCAGUAGGGAAUAUUGGACAAUGGGUGCGAGCCUGAUCCAGCCAUGCCGCGUGCAGGAAGAAGGCCUUCUGGGUUGUAAACUGCUUUUGCCGGGGGAUAAAAGACCCAUGCGUGGGGAAUUGAAGGUACCCGGUGAAUAAGCCACGGCUAACUACGUGCCAGCAGCCGCGGUAAUACGUAGGUGGCGAGCGUUGUCCGGAUUUAUUGGGUUUAAAGGGUGCGUAGGCGGCCCCGUAAGUCAGUGGUGAAAUACGGCAGCUCAACUGUCGAGGUGCCAUUGAUACUGCGGGGCUUGAGUACAGUCGAGGUAGGCGGAAUUGACGGUGUAGCGGUGAAAUGCUUAGAUAUCGUCAAGAACACCGAUAGCGAAGGCAGCUUGCUAGGCUGUAACUGACGCUGAGGCACGAAAGUGCGGGGAUCAAACAGGAUUAGAUACCCUGGUAGUCCGCACAGUAACGAUGUCACUCGGUGGUUGGUCGGUACGACGGCCGACGCGCCGUUACGUACGAACGACGUUAACGUAGACCCGACCGUACGGGGUAGGUACCGGCCCGCCGAACGGGUAGGAACGUACAAAGUAGAAGUUAGACGGCGUGAGACGUGCCGACGGACGACGACGAGGGAGGAGG
rnacentral:rRNA from 1 species